rnacentral:rRNA from 1 species
UACAGGGGGGGCAAGCGUUGUUCGGAAUUACUGGGCGUAAAGGGCUUGUAGGCGGCCAACUAAGUCCGACGUGAAAUCCCCAGGCUUAACCUGGGAACUGCGUCGGAUACUGGAUGGCUUGAAUUCGGGAGAGGGAUGCAGAAUUCCAGGUGUAGCGGUGAAAUGCGUAGAUAUCUGGAGGAAUACCGGUGGCGAAGGCGGCAUCCUGGACCGACAUUGACGCUGAGGAGCGAAAGCUAGGGGAGCAAACGGG